rnacentral:rRNA from 1 species
AGUGAACGCUGGCGGUAGGCCUAACACAUGCAAGUCGAACGGCAGCACAGUAAGAGCUUGCUCUUACGGGUGGCGAGUGGCGGACGGGUGAGGAAUACAUCGGAAUCUACUCUUUCGUGGGGGAUAACGUAGGGAAACUUACGCUAAUACCGCAUACGACCUACGGGUGAAAGCAGGGGAUCUUCGGACCUUGCGCGAUUGAAUGAGCCGAUGUCGGAUUAGCUAGUUGGCGGGGUAAAGGCCCACCAAGGCGACGAUCCGUAGCUGGUCUGAGAGGAUGGUCAGCCACACUGGAACUGAGACACGGUCCAUACUCCUACGGGAGGCAGCAGUGGGGAAUAUUGGACAAUGGGCGCAAGCCUGAUCCAGCCAUACCGCGUGGGUGAAGAAGGCCUUCGGGUUGUAAAGCCCUUUUGUUGGGAGAGAAAAGCAGCAGGUUAAUACCCCGCUGUUCUGACGGUACCCAGAGAAUAAGCACCGGCUAACUUCGUG